CAGAAACUACAAAGGAAGUUAGACGGGGCCCGGCACAAGACGGAGGAACAUGUGGUUUAAUUCGAUGAUACGCGAGGAACCUUACCUGGGCUAGAACGCAAUCGGAAUCAGGCCGAAAGGUCUGCGCCAGCGAUGGCCGCUUGCGAGGUGCUGCAUGGUUGUCGUCAGCUCGUGCCGUGAGGUGUCGGGUUAAGUCCCAUAACGAGCGCAACCCCUACUGCUAGUUGCCAGCGGGUCAUGCCGGGGACUCUAGCGGAACUGCCAGCGUAAGCUGCGAGGAAGGUGGGGAUGACGUCAAAUCAGCACGGCCCUUACGUCCAGGGCUGCACACGUGUUACAAUGGCCAGUACAGAGGGCAGCCACCCCGCGAGGGGGCGCUAAUCCUAAAAGCUGGUCCCAGUUCGGAUCGGAGUCUGCAACCCGACUCCGUGAAGCUGGAUUCGCUAGUAAUCGCGCAUCAGCCACGGCGCGGUGAAUACGUUCCCGGGCCUU
rnacentral:rRNA from 1 species